UACGGAGGUGGCAAGCGUUGUUCGGAAUUACUGGGCGUAAAGGGCGCGUAGGCGGCAAGGCAAGUCAGGUGUGAAAGCCCCGAGCUUAACUCGGGAAUUGCAUCUGAAACUGCUGUGCUUGAGUUCUGGAGGGGGUAGUGGAAUUCCCAGUGUAGCGGUGAAAUGCGUAGAUAUUGGGAGGAACACCUGCGGCGAAGGCGGCUACCUGGACAGAAACUGACGCUGAGGCGCGAAAGCUAGGGGAGCAAACAGG
rnacentral:rRNA from 1 species